rnacentral:rRNA from 3 species
CAGUGAAAUUGAACUCGCUGUGAAGAUGCAGUGUACCCGCGGCAAGACGGAAAGACCCCGUGAACCUUUACUAUAGCUUGACACUGAACAUUGAGCCUUGAUGUGUAGGAUAGGUGGGAGGCUUUGAAGUGUGGACGCCAGUCUGCAUGGAGCCGACCUUGAAAUACCACCCUUUAAUGUUUGAUGUUCUAACGUGGACCCGUGAUCCGGGUUGCGGACAGUGUCUGGUGGGUAGUUUGACUGGGGCGGUCUCCUCCUAAAGAGUAACGGAGGAGCACGAAGGUUGGCUAAUCCUGGUCGGACAUCAGGAGGUUAGUGCAAUGGCAUAAGCCAGCUUGACUGCGAGCGUGACGGCGCGAGCAGGUGCGAAAGCAGGUCAUAGUGAUCCGGUGGUUCUGAAUGGAAGGGCCAUCGCUCAACGGAUAAAAGGUACUCCGGGGAUAACAGGCUGAUACCGCCCAAGAGUUCAUAUCGACGGCGGUGUUUGGCACCUCGAUGUCGGCUCAUCACAUCCUGGGGCUGAAGUAGGUCCCAAGGGUAUGGCUGUUCGCCAUUUAAAGUGGUACGCGAGCUGGGUUUAGAACGUCGUGAGACAGUUCGGUCCCUAUCUGCCGUGGGCGCUGGAGAACUGAGGGGGGCUGCUCCUAGUACGAGAGGACCGGAGUGGACGCAUCACUGGUGUUCGGGUUGUCAUGCCAAUGGCACUGCCCGGUAGCUAAAUGCGGAAGAGAUAAGUGCUGAAAGCAUCUAAGCACGAAACUUGCCCCGAGAUGAGUUCUCCCUGACCCUUUAAGGGUCCUGAAGGAACGUUGAAGACGACGACGUUGAUAGGCCGGGUGUGUAAGCGCAGCGAUGCGUUGAGCUAACCGGUACUAAUGAACCGUGAGGCUUAACCUUACAACGCCGAAG